CACGAAGUCUGGAAACCCACGCGACCCCCUCUCUCUCUCGUUUCCUCUCCUCUAGCCCCAUCCCCUGCUUCUCCGCCGCCGCCUCUUUCUCCACCAAAUCCACAUCGCCGCCGUGCUCGUUGCCGGGACAGGCAGGAGGUGGAGGCGAGGGAGAUAGGGGGGUCAACUGGGCGGCGCCGCAUAGCACUGUACGAGGUGGCUAGAAGAGGGCGGCGCGGCAGGGUAAAUCCCCUUUCACUGCGGAGCAGUCCACGGUGCCUUCACCGUCGUCCUCACCUUCGAGCCGCCCGUGAUGCCAUCGCCAUCGCCAAGCCCCGUUUGUGCGGUACACAUAGAUGGAUGAGGAUGCCGGUAGCAAGCAGUAGCACCGAUGCCAAGCGAGAAGAGACCUCUAGCUCGACUUGUGGCGGCGGCGGGUACUACUGGAGCAUAGGCGCCUUUCAUUUUUCGUCCUCUUUGUUGGUGGGAAGGCGCAGCAGGUCGGAGGAGGAAGCCACGAGAACUUGGAGAGAGAGAGGAGAUGCGGAAGGGCGACGAUCUGUGUGGGACGACCCGGCGCUCGUGGAUGCCUUGGACCACGCCGUCACUAGCUACAAGGUAUGCGCCCUCGCCCCCCUUUGACCCUCUUGCCCUUUCCGCCUAGCUGGGAGAAGAUGUAGUAUGUGUGUUUUGUUUUAGACGGUGGCGUUCAUGCAAUGGCGUUCACGUCAUGUUCCAUUCUGCAAUGCACAAGUUCUCUUUUAUUUCUAGAAGCGUGUCUAUUUGCACAAGUAAUAUGCACACAGCAACACAUGGUCUAUACUCUAUACUGCUACAAAUUGGUCCGGAUUAGCUUUGAAUCUGUUAUUGAAGUUACUGUACGGCAACGGCGUUCUUUUAUGGGUUGAUUAAUAAAAUGGUUUUGUAUGUGCUAUAGAUAGCUAAUCCUUUGCAACAAUUUGAUAAGAUUCUUAAAUCAAUGGCGUGGCCUCUAUUUGAUGAGCUGGGGCUGCUAUAAAACCGAGAAGAAGACAAGGAGGAAUUUGAAGAUUCUGGUGAUGAGAUAGAUUGCAGCAGUACACCCUAUCACAUGAUGGAGAAAAGGAGCCUAGAGAAGAACAUUCGGCUUGAGCUGGAACAUGAGGUAUAUGCUUUUUCAGUUUACGUACAUUUUGUUUACUUCCUUCCGCUAAUGAUAAUGAUAGUUCAGUUGUGAGAAGCGUUGCACUCUCCUCUCUGACCAGCGAGCUCUGCUGUACUGCUGCUCCGGCUGAAGGUUUGCUCUCAAUUUCAGACCUCUGCGAGUUAUUCUAGAAUCUAUUAUGCUCUUUUACAUUGAGUUCAUUGGAUUGAAAAUGUCAGGUAUGCCUCUGUUUAAUUCUAAAAAGUAUCUGCUCUGUCUAGAGAAGGUAGAAUGGUAAGUUUAUUCGGAUGUUUGACAGUAUCUGAGAUGCCGCAGUAAGGCCUGAUGCAAUGCUUUACGAUGUUGUCAUUUCUUCACUUUGCAAAAGAUAGCAAACUAAUAUUGCCAUUGAUUUGUUUUUCCCAUAUGGUGUUGAUUAUUUCAUAAUUCAUCAUUUUGGUUAACAUAUUCAUAGGAAAUGUAAUGUUGAAAGUUGCAUUUGCAGACUAUACUCAUCUGAGAUGUCAUUUAUUUUUAACGGUUAGAGUGUAUAUCCUUGGUUAGAGUGAGUAUGAAAAACUAAACCAAAAAGGAAAUGUAAUGUUGUCAGCGAAGAUGUGAUUCCUAAAUAGCCUGAUAUUUCCAUUGACUUCGGACUGGCCACUCAUUUUGAUCAUGAUAACCCAUGACUAACCGAGUGAUCACUUUGGUAUCAUCCAGCUGAACUAUUAUUAGGUGCUACUCACUACAGCGUUGGUGUUGAUCUUUCAAGUGUGGGUUGCGUAUUGGCAGAACUCCUUGGUGAGCCUAUAGUCCCUGAAAAAUUGGAGCUUUCAAAAUCUUUGAGCCAGUGUUUUUAGCAAUCUAUUCUAGGAAAGUGACUUAGAUUUCCAUUGUAGGGACACAAAGGUACAUAUUGCAUCAUUUGUUGUUACUGCAAUGUUUCUCCCUAAUCCAUGCCAUGAAAUUAUUCAUCUAUUAUCUCGCCUGAAAUAGGUUAGUCUUUUGAUGGUUCAAUAACAUCUUUUGAUUUUUCAAACAUUCAAGCAUGUUCCAUAUGCCACUUCAUUUGGUUAUUAACUGGUUCGGUUAAAGGUUUCAUUUUUCAUUACAUUCAUUUGAGUUAACCUGAUUAUUCCCAAGCUGUGUCAGAUGUUCCACGAGAUGGUCCAAUGGUCCUGUUAGUUCUGUUUCAUUUUCCUGUUUACAUGUAGCGGUGUGCUUUGUUAGUUCUGUUCCAUGUUCCUGUUUCCAUGUACAAACGCUAAUUUCCCGUUUGAAUCCUCUUAAUUAGUAAGGUGUGUUCACAAGCUUGGAUCCUGAGCCAUAAGAACUCAAGAAAGGCAUCAUACAUUCCUUUUGCAAUACACUGACAACUUCGGAUGCGAGUACCCAUGGUGGUUUCUCUGUUCUUAGGAGUCAUGCUGAAGAGUGUCUUCCUCUGUCGGCUAGCAUUGAAAGCAUUUUUACUCCAGUUGAUGUCUACACAAUUUCUGGCGUAUUGAAUGGUAUGGUUGCUUUGCAGGGCAUGUCUCAGAAUCCACCUUGUCAAGAAGUGGGAGCCAAAGAUCUAUGUGGAACUCAGUGGCAUUUUCGUCACAUAUUUCAUGGGGAUCUUACAAUUUGAGCAUUUAGCUUGAAUACCCUUUAAACUUUCUGUCGUUGUGUUGUUGUUUUUGUGUAGCACUUCAUGUCACAAUUGAAUGUUGAAUUCUUAUCAGGUGCAGAAAUUUGCAUCAUAUACUGAUUCAUUACUUUAUGAGUAUGUGUGAGCUUUUCUCC